CGAUGUUUGGUACAAAUGCAAUAAUCACAAUGAAAAAUUUUAUUCACACGUUGCAAAAUACUAAAUACACAUCAUUUUUUCAUACACCUAAAAUAAAAAUGUAAGGGUACGUUAAAUUACCAAAUGAAAUCUAACUGAUUGAAUAAUAUAGUGGAGUUUAUGAGAUCUAACAGUUGCUUAACUCGUUGUAGGAAUGGUAUAGUGGUAGUUUGCUUGGUCAUGCAGAUGCUAUUCUUGCAAAGGCAGCCAAAAUUUUGAAGAAGUAUCAAGAAGACAAGCAAACUUCUAUUCUGUUAGUGGCUAAAAUUGGUGGAAUAUAUUGGUGGUACCAGACAGUAGCACACCCUGCUGAACUCACAGCUGGAUACUACAACACUGCUCUUAGGGAUGGUUAUGAUCCUGUUGCUUCAAUUUUUUCUCGUCAUGGAGCUGCUUUGCAUGUGUCCUGCUUGGAAAUGAUGGAUGGUGAAACACCAGAAUCCUAUCUCUGCAGCCCAGAAGGAUUACUGCAACAGUUAUGGAGUGUUUCGAAGAAAAGGAUAAUACAUUUGAUCGGGAGAAACACCAACGAACGAUUUGACAGUAGGA